rnacentral:lncRNA from 1 species
GCUAGUGGCUGUUGCACCAGUACCAGUAGCCGGGGUGCCAGCGCAAAGCGAAUCGGUUGAGAAGUUGGGAGAAGAUGAACCAAUGGUUAAUCUUGGGAGUGAUCAUGACGAUUAUCCUGAGAUGUAUCUAAGUGGAGACGAGGAGGCAGAGUCUGAGCCAGUUAAGGUGGAACUGAAGAAUAAGAUCAAGGUUGGUGAACAAGAUCAGCUAUCUGUGGAAGUCCAGGAACUCCGAAGCAAGGUAUUUCUCUUGGAGGAGUUGUGGAAGACAGAGCGGGCAUUACGUGAAAUGACUG